GACGGAGCGCGCCAGCGGUGUUCGGAAUUACUGGGCGUAAAGCGCACGUAGGCGGAUUGCUAAGUCAGGGGUGAAAUCCCGGGGCUCAACCUCGGAACUGCCUUUGAUACUGACAAUCUCGAGUCCGAGAGAGGUGGGUGGAAUUCCUAGUGUAGAGGUGAAAUUCGUAGAUAUUAGGAAGAACACCGGUGGCGAAGGCGGCCCACUGGCUCGGUACUGACGCUGAGGUGCGAAAGCGUGGGGAGCAAACAGG
rnacentral:misc_RNA from 1 species